rnacentral:rRNA from 1 species
GUCUACGGCCAUGCCACCCUGAAUGUGCCUGAUCCCGUCUGAUCUCAGAAGCUAAGCAGGGUCGGGCCUGGUUAGUACUUGGAUGGGAGACCACUUAGGAAGACCAGGUGCUGUAGGCG